rnacentral:misc_RNA from 1 species
GGUUGCUGAUGAGGAGCAGAAGAAAAUAAAGAAGGAUUCGCUAAAGAAGAAAAGCACUAGUACUACAAAGGAUGCUGUAACCAAGGUUCCAAGCAAGAAAAAGAAUAAUGGUUCAGAUGAGGAUCAUUCUCCAACUCGCAGUCAUGCCGGUGAUAAUGACCAAGCAGAUGAUGACGAUGAUGACGAUGAUGUUCAGUGGCAAACAGACACUUCUCUAGAGGCAGCCAAACAGCGUAUCCAGGAGCAGCUGAGUGCUGUCACUGCUGAUAUGGUCAUGCUCUCUACUACCGAAGAGAAUAAGUCGUCAAAGAAGUCCCCUGAGCACGAGAAGUCUGCAGUCAAUGGAACCAAGAAUGGAAAUGGAGUUUCUACCCAUGGUGCCCUCGUUCAAGAGAUCAAAGAUUAUUUGAAGAAAGGUUCCUCUGCAGCCGAUCUCAAAUCAUUCUUGGAAUCACUUUCUGGAACUCGCCAAGAGAUUGUGAAUGCCUUAGUCGAGUCUCUGUUCGAUGGUGUUGGGAAAGGCUUCUCAAAGGAGGUAGUGAAAAAGAAGAAGUUCCUAGCUGCAGCUGCCGCUCAGGAGGGAUCACAGAUAGUUCUUUUACGCGCCAUUGAAUCUUUCUGUCUGAACACAAGUCCAGAGGCGGGUAAGGAGGUCGCUCUAGUCCUGAAAUCGUUAUAUGACGGUGAUGUAAUAGAGGAGGAAUUCGUACUAGAGUGGUACCAGCAGGGUGUUGCUGGUGCUAACAAAAGCUCUCAAAUCUGGAAGUAUGUAAAGCCCUUCAUCGAAUGGCUCCAGAAUGCUGAGUCGGAGACGGAAGAAGAAUAAGAAUUUUAUUGAGGUAUCUCUCUCUCUCUCUGCAUGUGCGUUGGUUUUAAAUUUUUAGUAGUUUUUUGUUUUUUGGUUUAGAAGUUGUGAGCAAAGUUACGUUGUUGUGUGGAAUAAGGGGAGAAAUGGUUUGUUCCUUUUGUGUUGGCGCUCUGUGUCGUCGGGUCUUCUUAUAUUUCCUUGUUCUGUUGGUGUUUGGUUAUGAAGCUGUCUUUGAACAAUGAUAUAUUGUGUUUGCUUCUUCCAUUAAUGGUGCCCUUAAU